rnacentral:rRNA from 1 species
UACGUAGGGCGCAAGCGUUGUCCGGAAUUAUUGGGCGUAAAGAGCUCGUAGGCGGUUUGUCGCGUCGGUUGUGAAAACCCAAGGCUCAACCUUGGGCCUGCAAUCGAUACGGGCAGACUAGAGUACUGCAGGGGAGACUGGAAUUCCUGGUGUAGCGGUGAAAUGCGCAGAUAUCAGGAGGAACACCGGUGGCGAAGGCGGGUCUCUGGGCCGUAACUGACGCUGAGGAGCGAAAGCAUGGGGAGCGAACAGG